rnacentral:rRNA from 1 species
AUUGAACGCUGGCGGCAUGCCUUACACAUGCAAGUCGAACGGCAGCACGGGAGCAAUCCUGGUGGCGAGUGGCGAACGGGUGAGUAAUAUAUCGGAACGUGCCCAGUCGUGGGGGAUAACGUAGCGAAAGCUACGCUAAUACCGCAUACGAUCUAUGGAUGAAAGCGGGGGAUCGCAAGACCUCGCGCGAUUGGAGCGGCCGAUAUCAGAUUAGGUAGUUGGUGAGGUAAAGGCUCGCCAAGCCGACGAUCUGUAGCUGGUCUGAGAGGACGACCAGCCACACUGGGACUGAGACACGGCCCAGACUCCUACGGGAGGCAGCAGUGGGGAAUUUUUGGACAAUGGGCGCAAGCCUGAUCCAGCAAUGCCGCGUGCAGGAUGAAGGCUCGG